UAUGGCAGAUUAGUGCAAUGAAUUUAAGCUUCAUAUAUAAAGAUUAUUCUUUUAUUAGAA
rnacentral:tRNA from 1 species